GUCUGGCCAAUUGGGAUUGCUCAGCUGGUAAAGCAUGAGACUCUUGAUCACAGGGCUGUGGGUUCGAGCCCCACGUUGGGCA